CAUAGAAGAAAGGUUACUUUAGCCACAAUGAUCAGGAGAGGGUAUUUCUGGCAGAAGAGGUCCUAUUUCAUCUCCUAUGUCAUCCCUGUAGCAUCUUGGACGUCCUACCAAGAUAAGAGACAAUUGGAAGGAGGUCGCAGAGAACGGACGACAAGAGGGCGUGGUGCAGCAAGGCCUGGGCGAGGAGAGGACUGUCUUCCUACCCGCCCAUUCGUCGUAACACCGUCCAGCACGAUGUCCUGCGGACCCUAGCCGCUCUCCCUGGCCCAGUCAUGGGGACCUCCUUUUACCUCCCCCUGCACUUCCCUUAUUGCUACACUAUAAAUACACGCACUGCAGUUGCCAGCCAGUCCUUUUCUCCCAUCAGGAGGAAGGCUCCACCUGGCCUCAGCUUUUGUAUCUCUUUGUCUGUCUUUUCUUCAUCCCUCACCGUUCUCCCUCCGUGGAUCCGUCAGCCGCAUCACAGGAGAGAUCGAAUCACCUCCUUUUCAGAAGUACCGGGGGAAUCUGAAGAUGAACACAACCAGAUUCUGGUCUUCUUGGACACAGACAGAGCCAAAGCAAAAUUUGUCAGCAAAAAGUACUCUUAUUUUUAUUGUACAAAUGUGUUUAUUAAUCCAAAGAAAAGCUUACAUGUAACUUGGUAUGUUCUCACCAAUGUAAAUUAUAGUCAUAGACUUUCUUCUAAAAAGAGAAGUUUUUCCAACCUGAAUCAGUUAGGAUGCUUUUACUUGCAAAAAUAAAAAUUCCUCUUUUAGUAAUUAAGAUCCCCAAAUGUCUCACUAAACAUGAAAUACAGAGGCAAGUGCUUCCAGGGAUGAUUCAGCCAACAUAAUAAUGUCAUCAAGAAGAGCAGCCUUAGGUUUGUUUUCUGGUGGUGAUAAAAUGGCUGCUACAGCUCAAGGAAUCACAAUUACAUUCACAGGCAGAUAGAAAAAUGAUAGCUGGAACAUAGCUGUUUUGACACAAGGAGGAGAAAGACAGAAACUCCCAGAUUCCCUCUAACAAUCUGCAUCACAUGUUCAACUCUAAAUAAAUCUUGGCAAAGACAAUGGGGC
rnacentral:lncRNA from 1 species